CAUUGGGAGCUACUGCAAUGAGUAGUCAACAGAACAUGUCGUUCGAGUCAAACGAAGAAGGUGAGGAGGAAGAUGAAGUGAGAUACAGAGGAGAUAAGGAGUAGAUUCCAGAGGCAUUGCCGGUCACACACAGGUGGUGGCGCAAGAGGCGUUGGAGCUCGGCGGAGGCUGCCAUGGCGAAAGCUCAUCUUAGUUAAUUUCGUUCAUUGUUCUUCGAUGCUUAAUGUAAUUCUAAGGUGAUUUGGGUGCCUUAUUCAGUCCUCUGGCAAUGCAAGUUAAAGUACUGGAAUUAUUUUCGUUAAUCAUUAGACUAGGGAAAUGCUUCGUAUCAAGAAGAAAAACUAGAGGAGGAUCGUAGUGUAUAUGGGAGAUGACUUCGUGUUCCAGUUGUUUGGGAAGCACAAAGAUAUGGAUGGAUGUGGGGUUAUGUCCUAGUUAUUAUGUCAGACUUGAUGGAGAAAACAAAGGUCUUGAUAAAGGGAAUAUGUUUAAAAUUGAUGGCUAUCAGAAUUUGUUUGGUUUAAUGAAACAGAGGCUUGUGAGUUUCAAGAACUAGAAAUACAUACAAUAAAGAAUUGGAGCAUUUUCAAGCUCUUGUUGAAGCUCAAUCUCCAAAGGGUGGAAAUGAUCAUGAAAUCUAUGAAUCUGAACGGGCUAUCGAACACACAGGUUAGUACUUUGACUUUGUUAUCAUUUGUGCAAGAAAUAUGUUUGUUUCAGUGCCAUGGGUUAACAAUUCAAAUUCAAUUUUUUUUAAUUAAGACCCAAUUUGUUUCAGAUUAUAUUACUCAAAAGCCAUUAUUUUAGGAAAUGCAGUAACGCUUCUCCAUUUAUGGAAUUACUUACAAAAUAUUUUAAAAAAGAAUCAGAAUCUUCAAAAGAAAAUCUUUUUAACUUAUUGUUCAAGAAACUGGAAGUGUACGUUUUUCUAAAUCUCAAAAAAUAAUAAUUAUAGUAACCUUUUUCAAAAAUUUUGUAUAUUUAUUUCUUAAACAAACCAACUAAAGUUAACACCCAAGCCAAUGUAGGGUAAAAUAAUUAACGAGAAUCAUUAUCUCUACAAGCCAAAGUAGUGAACUUCAGGAAACCUUAGUGCUUCAGGGCGAAGUACACAUAAUGCAUAUUACACAUAAAAUGGUUGUUACAAUUACUCACAUGUUAUUGUCUUUACAUAUUUAGUUGUUUCAUUAUGAUUAUAUUCUAUAAGCACAAUUUAAGAGAUUAAAUUAAAGACAUAACAUGUUUUUAAACAACUGAUUUCUUUCUGCUAUCUGAUAUGAGAUUUUUUAAGUAUAUUAUGAAUUAAUACAAAGGUGUUCUCAGUUCAUGAAUAUAAUAAGGCUAUGGGAGACUAUAUUGGUAGUGUGAUGCUUUUCAAGCCAAUUGAAACUGUUUCAAACUUCUCGAUACCUUUAUGUAUGAGUUUUUGCUUCCAUCCUCUUAUCUAAGAAAUUUUUUUAAGUUGUUUGACAAUUUGUUUGGGCUAAUGGAUUAAAGUCUGUGACUUGAUGAAAUCCUUGCAGCAAGGCAAGUCGUUCACCAUCCAAGAAACUUUUUUAUCGAAAGGCCUAUGCACGUCAAAAGCCUACUAUUAAUGCAGCCACAUAUUUUUUUGGUACUAGUCCAUUCUUCUAAAAGAGAUUAAUGAACUAAAUUUUUAACUACAGUACAAGUAUAAUGAAUCACCACAAUUGCCCAAUUAUUAUGUACAAGUCUCAGCAAAACUCUCCUGUCGUAAUUUUAUACUUCAGAAAAUUUCUUUGUAUUUCUUUUUUUUUGGAAAGUUAAUUAUGUAGUCAUGCCAGUGUGUAAGAUUCUAUAACUCGGUCAUUUAUAUUUGGCAAAUAACAGUUAUAUUAUGUA